rnacentral:lncRNA from 1 species
GUACUAUUCUUUCUAAAAUAUUCUUUCCUUAUAUUGUUCCAGGAUUGACUUAAUAUUCAGAUGCCUUUAAAUGUCUAGGCAACUUGAUACAUUCUUAUUAUUUUCAAGUUGAUUAGUAAUUUCCUUUUAAGAACUAUAGUUUCAUACAACAGUCAUUUGUUAUUUUUAUAUGUUUCAAGGUUUCAGUGAUAUAUUCUAGAUUAUCCAUAACAAGUUUUUAAUCCCAGCCCACUUCUGUGCAAUCUGUGUAGUAUGUCUGUAUGUGUUGAAAGAGUCUAUGCUAAAUAAAGGUAUACUUACCAAAUAAAGUAAAAUAG